rnacentral:rRNA from 1 species
UACGUAGGCAGCAAGCGUUGUUCGGAGUUACUGGGCGUAAAGGGUGCGUAGGCGGCUUUUUAAGUUUGGUGUGAAAUCUCCCGGCUCAACUGGGAGGGUGCGCCGAAUACUGAGAGGCUAGAGUGUGGGAGAGGAAAGUGGAAUUCCGUGGUGUAGCGGUGAAAUGCGUAGAUAUCAGGAGGAACACCGGUGGUGUAAACGGCUUUCUGGACCAUAACUGACGCUGGAGGCACGAAAGCGUGGGGAGCAAACAGG